rnacentral:rRNA from 1 species
AGGGCGAAAAGUUGCAUGCUGUAGACCCGAAACCAGGUGACCUAUCCAUGGUCAGGUUGAAGCGAAGGUAAAACUUCGUGGAGGACCGAACCACGUUGGUGUUGAAAAACCAUGGGAUGAACUGUGGAUAGCGGAGAAAUUCCAAUCGAACUUGGAGAUAGCUGGUUCUCCCCGAAAUAGCUUUAGGGCUAGCGUUGAGAAUGAGUAGUGGAGGUAGAGCACUGAAUGGGCUAGGGGGCAUAGAGCUUACUGAACCUUAUCAAACUCCGAAUGCCACUAACUUGAAUCUCAGCAGUCAGACUACGAAUGAUAAGAUCCGUGGUCAAAAGGGAAACAGCCCAGACCAUCAGCUAAGGUCCCAAAGUGUAGAUUAAGUGGAAAAGGAUGUGGGAUUUCUAAGACAACUAGGAUGUUGGCUUAGAAGCAGCCACUCAUUUAAAGAGUGCGUAAUAGCUCACUAGUCAAGAGAUCCUGCGCCGAAGAUGUCCGGGGCUAAAAUCUACCACCGAAGCUAUGGGUGUACACUAGAUGUACGCGGUAGGGGAGCGUCCUAUGUUGGAAGAAGUUGUACCGAAAGGAGCAGUGGACGACAUAGGAGUGAGAAUGCUGGCAUAAGUAGCGAGAAGUGAGUGAGAAUCUCACUGGCCGAAAACCUAAGGUUUCCUGAGGAAGGCUCGUCCGCUCAGGGUUAGUCGGGACCUAAGCCGAGGCCGAAAGGCGUAGGUGAUGGACAAUCGGUUGAUAUUCCGAUACCACUAUAAGCGUAUGACCAAUGGGGUGACGCAGGAGGAUAAGAUGUGCUAACUAAUGGAUGUUAGUCUAAGCACUUAGACAGUAAAGAUAGGCAAAUCCGUCUUUACAAUGUUGAGGUGU